rnacentral:sRNA from 1 species
AGGCGACCUCGCCUGCAUUAAUGCCAACUUUUAGCGCACGGCUCUCAAAGAGCCAUUUCCCUGGACCGGAUACAGGAAUCGUAUUCGGUCUUUUUUU